GCCAGACGCCAUGGCACGUGCCUGUAGUCCCAGCUACUUGGGAGGCUGAGGUGGGAGGAUCGCUUGAGCCCAGGAGUUCUGGGCUGUAGUGCGCUAGGGCAAUUGGGUGUCCACACUAAGUUCGACAUCAACAUGGUGACCUCCCAGGAGCAGGGGACCACCAGCUUGCCUAAGGAGGGGUGAACUGGCCCAGGUCGGAAACGGAGCAGGUCAAAACUCUGGUGCUGAUCAGUAGUGGGAGCUGGCCUGUGAAUAGCCACUGCACUCCAGCCUGGGCAACAUAGUGAGACCCCAUCUCU
rnacentral:SRP_RNA from 1 species